rnacentral:lncRNA from 1 species
GUAACCCCCGCUCGACCCAGCUAUACUCUUAUUACCUGAAAGGAAUUGUGAAGCAAAAGGGUGAGCACAACUAGCUCAGUAAAGAAUAUCAUGACUAAAGAUAAUUAAAUUAUCAAUAGCCUUCAUCAAUAAUAAAUCAGAGAUUUAGAACAUAUGGUAGAUGAUAAAAAAAAAUUCAACCGUAGUUGCAGCGAAACGAGCAAUCCAUUAGAAGAGUCAAAUAGACUAUAAAGUCUAUUAUCUUCACCAUGUUAAAAAUCCACCGACAAUGUUUUAUCCCUGUAACAUCAAUCAACAAUUCUGGUCCACAAUCAUAUGAAUAACUCAUAAUCAUAAUUGUAGUUCUAAAUUUCUCUUCGCAUCCAGGACGAAGAUAAUUUUCAUCACAUGUCUUUACCUGAAACAUCAAAGAUCAUGAUUAUAUCAAAUCACAGUUCCUGUUCAUAAUCAUACUAAUAAAUUCAUCUUUGCACUACGGCCAAAAAUAUUCGUCAACAGUUCAUAUUUGCACUACUGGCCAAUGAUAUUCAACAACAUG